rnacentral:rRNA from 1 species
UACGGAGGGGGCUAGCGUUGUUCGGAAAUACUGGGCGUAAAGCGCACGUAGGCGGCGCAGUAAGUCAGGGGUGAAAGCCCGGGGCUCAACCCCGGAGAGUCGACCGAUACUGGCAGACUAGAGUACAGAAGAGGUAGCUGGAAUUCCUGGUGUAGCGGUGAAAUGCGUAGAUAUCAGGAGGAACACCUGAGGCGAAGGCGGGCUACUGGGCUGAUACUGACGCUGAGGCACGAAAGCGUGGGGAGCAAACAGG